GUUGCAGUUAAAACGCUCGUAGUCGGAUUUCGGGGCGGGCCUGCCGGUUUGCCGAUGGGUAUAUACUGGUGGGUGCGUCCUUCCUUCCGGAGACCGCGCCUCCUCUUAACUGAGCGGGCGUGGGAGACGGAUCGUUUACUUUGAAAAAAUCAGAGUGUUUCAAGCAGGCAUUUCGCUUUUGCAUGGAUUAGCAUGGGAUAAUGAAAUAGGACUUUGGUGCUAUUUUGUUGGUUUCGAGCACCGAAGUAAUGAUUAACAGGGACAGUCAGGGGCACUCGUAUUCCGCAGAGAGAGGUGAAAUUCUCAGACCCGCGGAAGACGAACCACUGCGAAAGCAUUUGCCAGGGAUGUUUUCACUGAUCAAGAACGAAAGUUAGGGGAUCGAAGACGAUCAGAUACCGUCGUAGUCUUAACCAUAAACGAUGCCAACUAGGGAUUCCGAGAUGUUGUAUUUGACUCUCGGAGCACCUUACGGGAAACUAAAGUCUUUGGGUUCCGGGGGGAGUAUGGUCGCAAGGCUGAAACUUAAAGGAAUUGACGGG
rnacentral:rRNA from 1 species